UACGGAGGGUGCAAGCGUUAUCCGGAUUUACUGGGUUUAAAGGGUGCGUAGGUGGGUAGGUAAGUCAGUGGUGAAAUCUUCGAGCCUAACUCGGAAACUGCCAUUGAUACUAUUUAUCUUGAAUACUCUGGAGGUAAGCGGAAUAUGUCAUGUAGCGGUGAAAUGCUUAGAUAUGACAUAGAACACCAAUUGCGAAGGCAGCUUACUACAUAGUUAUUGACACUGAGGCACGAAAGCGUGGGGAUCAAACAGG
rnacentral:rRNA from 1 species